ACUGCUCAGUAACACGUGGAUAACCUACCCAAGAGUCCGGGAUAACCCCGGGAAACUGGGGAUAAUACCGGAUAGGCCACCCAGGCUGGAAGGCGGGGUGGUUGAAACUUCCGGGGCUUUUGGAUGGGUCUGCGGCUGAUUAGGUUGUUGCCGGUGUAAUGUACCGUCAAGCCUGUAAUCAGUACGGGUUGUGGGAGCAAGAGCCCGGAGAUGGAUUCUGAGACACGAAUCCAGGCCCUACGGGGCGCAGCAGGCGCGAAAACUCUACAAUGCAGGCAACUGCGAUAGGGGAACAUCGAGUGAUCCUCAUAUUGGGGGUCUGUCCACUCGCCUAAAAAGCGGGUGUUAGCAAGGGCCGGGCAAGACCGGUGCCAGCCGCCGCGGUAAUACCGGCGGCUCGAGUGGUGGCCGAUAUUAUUGAGUCUAAAGGGUCCGUAGCCGGCUUUGCAAGUCUCUCGGGAAAUCCAGCGGCUUAACCGUUGGUCGUCCGGGGGGUACUACAUUGCUUGGGACUGGGAGAGGUAGGAGGUACUCAGGGGGUAGGAGUGAAAUCCUGUAAUCCUUUGGGGACCACCGGUGGCGAAGGCGUCCUACCAGAACAGGUCCGACGGUGAGGGACGAAAGCUAGGGGCACGAACCGGAUUAGAUACCCGGGUAGUCCUAGCCGUAAACGAUGCGAGCUAGGUGUCACGUGGAUUGCGAAUCCACGUGGUGCCGUAGGGAAACCGUGAAGCUCGCCGCCUGGGAAGUACGGCCGCAAGGCUGAAACUUAAAGGAAUUGGCGGGGGAGCA
rnacentral:rRNA from 1 species